AGGGAACGCUGGCGGUAGGCCUAACACAUGCAAGUCGAACGGCAGCACAGUAAGAGCUUGCUCUUACGGGUGGCGAGUGGCGGACGGGUGGGGAAUACAUCGGAAUCUACUUUUUCGUGGGGGAUAACGUAGGGAAACUUACGCUAAUACCGCAUACGACCUACGGGUGAAAGCAGGGGAUCUUCGGACCUUGCGCGAUUGAAUGAGCCGAUGUCGGAUUAGCUAGUUGGCGGGGUAAAGGCCCACCAAGGCGACGAUCCGUAGCUGGUCUGAGAGGAUGAUCAGCCACACUGGAACUGAGACACGGUCCAGACUCCUACGGGAGGCAGCAGUGGGGAAUAUUGGACAAUGGGCGCAAGCCUGAUCCAGCCAUACCGCGUGGGUGAAGAAGGCCUUCGGGUUGUAAAGCCCUUUUGUUGGGAAAGAAAAGCAGCAGGUUAAUACCCCGCUGUUCUGACGGUACCCAAAGAAUAAGCACCGGCUAACUUCGUG
rnacentral:rRNA from 1 species